rnacentral:rRNA from 1 species
CAGUCGCCGCGGGAAAACGGAGGGUGCAAGCGUUAUCCGGAUUUAUUGGGUUUAAAGGGUCCGUAGGCGGAUCUGUAAGUCAGUGGUGAAAUCUCACAGCUUAACUGUGAAACUGCCAUUGAUACUGCAGGUCUUGAGUAAAUUUGAAGUGGCUGGAAUAAGUAGUGUAGCGGUGAAAUGCAUAGAUAUUACUUAGAACACCAAUUGCGAAGGCAGGUCACUAAGAUUUAACUGACGCUGAUGGAUGAAAGCGUGGGGAGCGAACAGGAUUAGAUACCCCCGUAGUCCCUGUCUCUUAUAC